rnacentral:misc_RNA from 1 species
GCGCCUGUCUUUGGGGAGUAGCUUACCUGAUGAAGUUUCUGUUUCAUCUGGUUCGUCCGUCAACAUAAUUGGUGCAAAAUCACCAUGGCGUUCGAGACUUGAAGCCUUUCAAGUUUAGCAAGACCUUAGACAAAUCA